GGUCAGAGUAGCAUAGGGGAGAUGCUGAAGGCAGAAGAAGGGCUUGCUGAAGGUGGAGGAUGAGUUCCUUCCUUCCUAAGGUCACUCAGACUGAGAGAUCCAAAUUCCUCUUAGAUCUCACUCUGUUCAUACAAUGUCUGUGACAAUGACAAGAGCACCAAGAUGUCUGAGUCAGAGUCCUGUGCUGCCUCAGAGCCUCCUGAGGGGAGGAGGUUACUUCUCAGAACAAAAAUCAUCUUUGCCUGGAGAAGGAACUCUCAAGGAUGCAGUGGUGUGAUCCCAGCAAUACAAGGCAAGCAGGGUUGGCAGACACCACCUGGCACCCUUGAGAUGCUUCAAGUCCUCCAAAUGCUUCUCCAUUACAAGCUGCCACAAGACACGCUACCAUCACCUCCAUUUAAAUAACCAUCCUGUUCCCUAUUUUCCAUUUCUCAGAUUUUAGCCAGGUCACAUUUUUAAACAGAGAGCCACACCCAGCCAUUUCCUUUGGAAGCUGAUCACCCUUUGCAGCCUUGUGGUGUCUACUCUGGUCUAUGUCUCAUUGUUGUCAUGUUCUCUGUCCCAUCUCUUUGCUCCUGGGUCCUAAUUAUCCAUCAGGUCCUAGACCGGGAACAGCUGCAAAGGCAAACAGAGUUAAAUCUCAAGAUAAGGGACUGUGGUAGGAUGCCCUGAGGGGCUUGCUUGAGUGGAAGGCUUAGGAGUUUGCUGACAGAAACAUCUAUGGGAUCUCUUCCCUAAAAAGUUCUUAUGAGACUGGUAGUGGUGGUGCAUGCCUUUAAUCCCAGUACUCGGGAGACAGAGGCAGGCGGACCUCUGUGUGUUCGAGACCAGCCUUGUCUACAAAUUAAGAUCCAGG
rnacentral:lncRNA from 1 species